rnacentral:rRNA from 1 species
GACAGAGGUUGCAAACGUUGUUCGGAAUCACUGGGCCUAAAGCGCACGUAGGCGGUCUGUUAAGUCAGGUGUGAAAGCCCCCGGCUCAACCGGGGAAUUGCAUUUGAUACUGGCAGGCUCGAGAACGGUAGGGGUGAGUGGAACUCCAGGUGGAGCGGUGAAAUGCGUAGAUAUCUGGAGGAACACCGGUGGCGAAAGCGGCUCACUGGACCGUCACUGACGCUGAGGUGCGAAAGCUAGGGUAGCAAACGGG